rnacentral:ncRNA from 2 species
CUUUGCCGCAGAAAUUUUGGUGUCAUUCGUCCGAUGCUACGGAAGAAUGGUGAAAAGGGAAUCAGGUGUAAAUCCUGAACAGACCCGCUGCUGUAAGCUCCGCCAGAAGUUUUCCUACAAUACUCAAAUCCACUGUCUCGCUUUGGAGAGAUGGGAAGGGCGUUAGGAAAAUGGAGUAAGUCAGAAGACCUGCCAAAAUUGAAUUCUUGAA